AUGCACCGAAGCUGCGGAUUCAAACUUUGUUUGAGUGGUAGGGGAGCGUUCUGUAAGCCGUUGAAGGUGUGCCGGGAGGCAUGCUGGAGGUAUCAGAAGUGCGAAUGCUGACAUGAGUAACGAUAAUGCGGGUGAAAAACCCGCACGCCGGAAGACCAAGGGUUCCUAUCCCAUGUUAAUCAGGGUAGGGUAAGUCGACCCCUAAGGCGAGGCCGAAAGGCGUAGUCGAUGGGAAACGGAUUAAUAUUUCCGUACUUGGUAUAAUUGCGAUGGGGGGACGGAGCAGGCUAAGCAAGCAUGGCGAUGGUAGUCCAUGUGAAAGUGUGUAGGCUAGUGACUUAGGUAAAUCCGGGUUGCUGUUAGGCUGAGACACGAGACGAGUCACCAAGGUGAUGAAGUUGCUGAUGCCAUACUUCCAGGAAAAGCCUCUAAGCUUCAGAUUAUACCGAAUCGUACCCCAAACCGACACAGGUGGUCAGGUAGAGAAUACUAAGGCGCUUGAGAGAACUCGGGUGAAGGAACUAGGCAAAAUCGUACCGUAACUUCGGGAGAAGGUACGCUCCGAUUGGUGAUGAGACUUGCUCUCUAAGCUGAUUGGAGCCGCAGUGACCAGGUGGCUGGGACUGUUUAUUAAAAACACAGCACUGUGCAAAAUCGCAAGAUGACGUAUACGGUGUGACACCUGCCCGGUGCCGGAAGGUUAAUUGAUGGGGUUAUCUUCGGAGAAGCUCUUGAUCGAAGCCCCGGUAAACGGCGGCCGUAACUAUAACGGUCCUAAGGUAGCGAAAUUCCUUGUCGGGUAAGUUCCGACCUGCACGAAUGGUGUAACCAUGGCCACGCUGUCUCCACCCGAGACUCAGUGAAAUUGAAAUCGCAGUGAAGAUGCUGUGUACCCGCGGCUAGACGGAAAGACCCCGUGAACCUUUACUACAGCUUGGCACUGAACAUUGAACCUACAUGUGUAGGAUAGGUGGGAGACUUAGAAGCAGAGACGCUAGUUUUUGUGGAGUCGUCCUUGAAAUACCACCCUUGUAGUUUUGAUGUUCUAACGUUGGCCCCUGAAUCGGGGUUACGGACAGUGCCUGGUGGGUAGUUUGACUGGGGCGGUCUCCUCCCAAAGAGUAACGGAGGAGCACGAAGGUUGGCUAAGUACGGUCGGACAUCGUACGGUUAGUGUAAUGGUAGAAGCCAGCUUAACUGCGAGACAGACACGUCGAGCAGGUACGAAAGUAGGUCAUAGUGAUCCGGUGGUUCUGAAUGGAAGGGCCAUCGCUCAACGGAUAAAAGGUACUCCGGGGAUAACAGGCUGAUACCGCCCAAGAGUUCAUAUCGACGGCGGUGUUUGGCACCUCGAUGUCGGCUCAUCACAUCCUGGGGCUGAAGUCGGUCCCAAGGGUAUGGCUGUUCGCCAUUUAAAGUGGUACGCGAGCUGGGUUUAGAACGUCGUGAGACAGUUCGGUCCCUAUCUGCCGUGGGCGUUUGAGAAUUGAGAGGGGUUGCUCCUAGUACGAGAGGACCGGAGUGAACGAACCGCUGGUGUUCGGGUUGUCAUGCCAAUGGCAUUGCCCGGUAGCUACGUUCGGAACUGAUAAGCGCUGAAAGCAUCUAAGCGCGAAGCAGGCCUCGAGAUGAGUUCUCACUAGACUUUUAAAGUCUCUGAAGGGCCGUUGAAGACUACAACGUUGAUAGGCAGGAUGUGGAAGUGGUGUGAGCCAUUAAGCUAACUUGUACUAAUUACCCGUGAGGCUUAACCAUACAACGCCAAACGCGUUU
rnacentral:rRNA from 1 species